UUUUGUCACAUUCGGAUUGUUCCUGCUGCCUCAGUCGCCGCGCACACUAAACCCAACCACUGUGGGUUGGAGUCUCCACUGGCCCAACUCUCACAAUUUAACAUCUUCCAAUGUGAAUUGGUUAUAUUCGUGAGGAGGAAGGAACUGUCGAUCCUAGGAGGAAAUUAAAGCCGUGAAAGGCCUUGCGCUGCUUUUGCUUUUACUUACCUGCUCCGAACAAAUUGGACUUCCAGAGUCAGUCAUUUUAGUGUCAAGAAAUUUCUUUGGCACUCUAUAACAGGUGACUUGUUGUUGUUCUACAGGUGAGCAUCUGGGAGCCAUUAAUCCAGAACUCUCCUACCAGGGCACCAGGCACUGAGAUGAUAAGUUGAGUAAGUGCUGAAAUGAGUUGAAGACUAGCCUUUGGAGGUUUCCAGAGUAGAUCGUGCAUCUCCUUUGGAUGGACCGGGCAAAGUGACAUUCUGCAAACUGCUGUCAGAGGUCCUGAGAACACAAGCCCAUCUGGCUUUCAUUCCCUGUGUUGAAUGGCAUUUGCCCCAGCAGCCCACUGAGGGCUCUUUCCCUCGGGAUUCUGAACUGUAACUAGGAACCCAGGCUGAGAAGAUGCUGAGUUCCAUCAAGUGUGUGUUGGUGGGAGACUCUGCGGUGGGGAAAACCUCUCUGUUGGUGCGCUUCACCUCAGAGACCUUCCCGGAGGCCUACAGGCCCACGGUGUAUGAGAAUACAGGCGUGGACGUCUUCAUGGAUGGCAUCCAGAUCAGCCUGGGGCUCUGGGACACAGCCGGCAAUGAUGCCUUCAGGAGUAUCCGGCCCUUGUCCUACCAGCAGGCGGACGUGGUGCUGAUGUGCUACUCCGUGGCCAACCAUAACUCCUUCCUGAACCUGAAAAACAAGUGGAUCGGUGAAGUCAGGAGCAACCUGCCCUGCACCCCUGUGCUGGUGGUGGCCACCCAGACUGACCAGCGGGAGGUGGGGCCCCACAGGGCCUCCUGCGUCAAUGCCAUAGAAGGAAAGAGACUGGCCCAGGAUGUGAGAGCUAAGGGCUACCUGGAGUGCUCAGCCCUCAGCAAUCGGGGGGUACAGCAGGUAUUUGAGUGUGCCGUCCGAACUGCUGUCAACCAAGCCAGGAGACGCAACAGAAGGAGGUUCUUCUCCAUUAAUGAAUGCAAGAUCCUCUAAACCCCAAAGACUUUACUCAACACUCGUUUCCUCUGCCCAAAGACUAACUGAGACAGGGAGAGCCCACAAGCCAGCAAGGAUUGAUACUCUUUCUGGAUACAGCAGCGUUUCCUUCCUGAAAAGUGUUUCCUUUUGGAUACAAUUGAUGAGACUUGGCUACUGGAUGUUUUUACAAAAUAAACUCUACAAAUGGACUCUUUGCCCUUGCCAACUAGAAGAUGCCUUGAGCAACUGUAAUGAAUACUCCAUCUUCAACUAAAAAAACCAAAGCGGUCUCCAUAAUUUUGGACAAUGAAACUGAAGGAAACGUCUUCCAGGUAGAGAGCAGACUGCUCUAAGCGAUGGCAGCAGAGCUUGGAGCAGACGCAAGGAAGUCUGACUUUCACUUUGGGGACCGUUGCACUUCGCCAGCGUCUUCUGACCCUGGGACUCCUAGCUUGUUGUAGGUCUUGUGAAAGACCAGACUCGGUUCUCUGUGACGGCAAUUCAGCAGAUUUGUUGUCUGAACUCUAACCUGAGCUGGCAUGGCAACAUAAUUUAUUAAUUUUAGGAUCUAAUCAGAAUCAUUGGGAAGAUAUCUAGGUGUAUAUGUAUCUGUGUUGGAAAAAAGGUGGAAUUUGUAACUUUUACUAAUUUCAUGAAUAUGAAACACCUGAGCAGAAAAAAUCACAAAUUUCAAGCACAGGGAACAGGAAAACGGUAUAGCAAUUGCUUAGAUAAUAAAAAGUUAUCAGGAGAAAUACUGAGUAAAUAGGAACACUGCCUACCCCCAUUCUAUCUAAUAGCUUAAAAGCAAUGGCAUUGAUCAUGUUAAAGUUGAGAACAGAGGACUAUGUCGCUUCAGAAAUUGCAAAAGCUGGAACCCAGGUGUUUCGUUUACUCACCCAAUCAAAUAAAACCUAGAACCACUCUGAAUCACGUUUAUUAAAGCUCAUGGUGGUUAGGGUGUAACACGCCAUCACACACCAACGGUGAGCAGUUGGCGUAAUGACCAUGAUUAGACUUUUGUUAUGUGGUCGAUUCUUUAUAGCGCUAAUCAAUGUCAAAAUCAAACGUGUGCUUGUCUCCACAUUGCCUUCUCUUUCUCCUCUUUGCUCAUCCACAUCCAAUAAAGGGGCUGGGACCUGGGUCUUCAUCUCUGGGGCCCGGGUUCCUUCAGUUCCCUGGGGCUGACAUAGCUACCUUCACCCUGACAUCUCCAGCUCUCCAGGCCCACAGCUCAUCCUCUCCUCAGUAUCACCUGUGUGCCUUAAUUUGCGAACUACCAUAUCCAGCUCUCCACGCUGGGCAGCCAGAGGGUUGGAGGGCUUCAAAGCUGGCCAGGCAGGUGAGGCGAUGGGAGUUCAUCUCCUCAGUAUCCCUGUUGACCUUCCUCCUCUUCUCCAUCAAUCGCCAACGGUCUUAAAGAACACGUGCAGGUUUUCCUUCAGGGUCAGUCUUUAGGGUGGAGGGUAUUUAACACAAUAGCAGGAAUCAAUUUCUAAUCAUUACAACUAGCUUUCCCCAAGCUUUUCUUUCUUUCUUGUUGAAUAGAGAUUGGUUGACGUGGGUUGGGGGAUAGGGGGCCAGGAUCUGAAAAUGGGAAGGCCUAGUUACCUGAUUCUAAGAGAGGGGAGAGGAGGUGAUUCCAUGGCAGAAGUGGUAUUACCAGGGAAGGCCAGAGAGGGCGAGGCCAGGUGACUUUGCCUUCACCUGGGCAGACACACAGGUGAGCCGUCUGCCUGUUGGCUGGAGCCAAGCUUAAACGCCCCCUCUGAGAACCCUCACACCUAAGAAUAGGAAUCCACGUGUAAACUCUCCCCAGUGAUAGGAACUGGCAUAAAUUGAAGCCAGUCAGCAUCUCUCUCCCUUAUUAGACUACAGUUCUUGAAGGCAGAGCCACCUCCUGUUCAUUUCAGUGUCCCCAGGGCCCAGCUCAGGGAAAGAAAGGCAGCUAAACAAAGUCGUGUUGAAUUGAAUUGGAGAGAAAGUCAAGAAUUGGACGGAUGUGCUGCAAAGCGGUUACAGGAAGGAAGCAGACCCUCACCAGCUGUGCAGGGGUAAGAAGUGAAAAUAGGCCAUUUUCUUGGAAUCCAUGCAGUUUAUGCUCUACAUGACUGUGUAUUUCUUUCUCCUGCUUAGAUGCAGGCAUAUGCUUCUUACACUUCAAAACUUGCAGUACCUUUUUUUGUGGACUAUUGUAUGUUGAUUCUUAACCAUCCCGCGUAGCAACAUUAAAUAUGCUCUUGUUUACAUUAAGGAGUUGGCUGAGUGGUUGAGUAAUUCAUCCUAUUCUGUUCUACUUUAUACUGACUAUCUAAAUACGGUGGCACAAGCUAGUGUGAUGAAAUUAGGCUGAUAAGAAAGCAGAAAGCAUCGCAAUGGUUAUAGUUUAUUGAGGGCUUGGAUGUGCCAGGCCCUGUGCUAAGCACUUGAGUGUGUGUGUGAUCUCACCACGUGGUGUGUAGGUAGCCACACUGUGAGUACCAUAUUGCACAGGAAACUGAACGUUGACCGGCAAGUCCAAGGCCAGACAGCAGGUGAGUGGCUGCACCAGGAGUCUUGAGCGGGUCUGUUGGACUCCAAAGCUCUGCUCAAAACCACUGUGCCCCACUUCCUCCCAGAGCAGCCCAACCAUGUGGUUUUGCCACAUCCGAUCUCAUGUAACCUUGUAGGUCCCAACCCUACCAGUCAAGUGGCCUGUAUUUUAAAAAUUGCUUUUAAUAAAAUAUUUCAAUUCUUUGUCCA